AAAAAACUAGUCGCACGUGCCGGCACGGAUUCUGUAGCUGCCUGUUCGACUUCGCGGAUCACAGAAAUAUACGAGAAUGAAGGACACGGUCGGUCCGUGCAGGGCGAUCGUGGAGAGUAACAGCGACGCACAAUCAGUUUCUGAUAUUGCAAAAACGAGUGAAAAAGGAUGGGAUUCCCAACUAUGCUGGUACGAAAGAAUCAUGCUUUGGGUGCUACGACAAGGAACCAUACCUCAGCACUUCGCCAUCGUCGCGGAUGGUAACCGGCGUUUUUCUCGGAAAAAGAAAAUAUCCCUGAGCCAAGUCUACUCUCUUAUGUUUAGGAAGUUCACUACGACUUGGCCCUACAUGGCAGCUCUCGGUGUUCCCGAGGUCACCUAAUUCAUGAUCAGCACUCGUAACUUCAGCCGCAAUACCAGGGACCUCGUUACUGCCAUUGAUGAGAUGAUGAAAUUCUUCGCCAGAACCCUUCAGUGCCUAGCAGCAAAGCUUAGGCUCUGCGUAGCGUAUAACACCAAGGUCGGAUUGAAGAACAUGGUGCUGGACUUAGUGAAGGCCGUUCAAGCGGGAGCCAUUGAAUCAGACGACAUAACUGCAGGUUUCUUGGCGUAGUGGCUCGCUGUCAGUGAGGCUCCUGAAACUGAGCUGUGGUUUCGCAGCAGCGGCGAAAUGCGUUUCAGUGAAUUCUUGGUGCUGCAGAGCGGCUACUCGUAUAUUCACAUCGACCCACAGUUGUGGCCCGCCAUCACAUCCUGGAACUGGAUUUGGGCAGUUCUGCAAUUUCAACCUAAAUGGCCGUACAUCAAGGCCAUUACGGACAGUCAUCGCGAUUUGUGGGCAUCUCCCCAAGACCGGAAUGGCUGCGCGAGUAUUAUUCGUCAGAAGUCUUUCUUGAGGCGCAUCAAAUCUGCAAAGAUGGCGUAUCUAAGCAGCCAGUGCUUCAGCGAAAUUAAUCAACCGACGAACGCAUCCUUGCUAUUCUCCGGGAACCAUCUUACUGAAUGAGGCAGUAAACAUUCUUUCACUACUUUCUUUGGCAUGAACACAUCUUUUCUGAAAAGCUCAGUGUUGUAAGGAUAGUGUGAAGAAUAAAUUAACCAUUUUCGGUGUACCUCCCAUACGAAUGACUCGCAAUUAAAAUAAAAUUGACACACGUGUCUAUAGAAGUAGUUCCAAUCUCAUGCCUGAUAUGAAGCUUUCACAGAGCUCAUGGUAGUUGGGUUGGCAAGACAGCCUUGCAAAUUGAUGCAUCGAAAUUGAGGGUCAUGGCUGAGAAUUCUGAUUAGGCUCUAGAGGGUUGCCGGAAGGCCUGCAAGCCUUAACGGGAGGUGCCUAUAUGAGUUAGUGCAAAGGUACAUUUAAUGAUCACAUGCAGCGAGAGCCAAAUAUAUGAAUGGCAAUUGCAGACACUGACAUAGGGUCAUGCAGCUGAUUGUUUAUCUUCUUGACCCUAUUAUGCGGAACAGCCCAUCAAAUGUAUGCGUAAAGAUGCAAGAAGCUUUCAGUUCCCGGUUCAUGCCCUUGCAGUUCCAAUUCUAAAUGUGGAACGCUGGGCUUUCGUUCUUCGCUUUUGGAACAGUUCAUUACUUUUUGUAUGCUUACGGAUAGUUUUUCAUUAUCUAAGAAUUUGAACAGCGGAGCUGCUUAGGUUCACCGUAAUUUCGCAAUUCGAGCACCACAAGAUGAGUGUGUCCUGACUUUUGGUUUCGUUGGCGUGACAUCACUGAAGUGGUUAAGGACAUACCUUUUUUUCAAAUGGAGCAGAACGAAGAUAGAAAAAACGAAACAGUGCAAAAAAUGAGACACUAGUCGAAGGAGCACACAUACAGAGCGCUGACUUACACAUACAGAGCUGCUCAUGCUUUGAUAA
rnacentral:lncRNA from 1 species